rnacentral:rRNA from 1 species
ACGAACGCUGGCGGCGUGCUUAACACAUGCAAGUCGAACGGAAAGGCCCCUUUGGGGGUACUCGAGUGGCGAACGGGUGAGUAACACGUGAGUAACCUGCCCUUGACUUCGGGAUAACUUCAGGAAACUGGGGCUAAUACCGGAUAGGAAUCCUUGCUGCAUGGUGGGGGUUGGAAAGCUUCGGCGGUUUUGGAUGGACUCGCGGCUUAUCAGCUUGUUGGUGGGGUAGUGGCUUACCAAGGCUUUGACGGGUAGCCGGCCUGAGAGGGCGACCGGCCACAUUGGGACUGAGACACGGCCCAGACUCCUACGGGAGGCAGCAGUGGGGAAUAUUGCACAAUGGGCGGAAGCCUGAUGCAGCAACGCCGCGUGCGGGAUGACGGCCUUCGGGUUGUAAACCGCUUUCAGCAGGGGCGAAGCUUGUGGUGACGGUACCUGCAGAAGAAGCACCGGCUAACUACGUG